rnacentral:rRNA from 1 species
UGGGGAAUUUUGGACAAUGGGCGAAAGCCUGAUCCAGCCAUGCCGCGUGAGGGAAGAAGGCCUUCGGGUUGUAAAGCUCUUGUAGUCGGAAAGAAAGAGUUGCAAUGAAUAAUUGUGAUUUAUGACGGUACCGACAGAAAAAGCACCGGCUAACUACUUGCCAGCAGCCGCGGGAAGACGUAGGGUGCGAGCGUUAAUCGGAAUUACUGGGCGUAAAGGGUGCGCAGGCGGUCUUGCAAGUCAGAUGUGAAAGCCCCGGGCUUAACCUGGGAAUUGCGUUUGAAACUACAAGACUAGAGUGCAGCAGAGGGGAGUGGAAUUCCAUGUGUAGCAGUGAAAUGCGUAGAGAUGUGGAAGAACACCGAUGGCGAAGGCAGCUCCCUGGGUUGACACUGACGCUCAUGCACGAAAGCGUGGGGAGCAAACA